rnacentral:lncRNA from 15 species
ACCUUCUGUGUUUAAACUCCCUGAAUGCUUCAUUAGUGGAACUCCUUUUCCCAACAUCCCAGCAGCGUGCUUACAACCCCACACCCACUCCUAAACACCCCAUGGCCGGUAUCCUCAACUGUCUGCCCCCACCCUCCCGAAGUCCCCAUCCCAUCCAAACCUUCCUGCAUCUGUGACCAGAUUGUCUCCCUGAGUAGAAAGGCCCUGGAGCAGAGGAAGAGGGCCGAGGAGGAGGAGGAGCAGUGGAAGGAAAGGCAGAAGCAGAGGGAGAAGAAGUUGCAGAGGGUGGUGGUGAAACGAGCCCAGGCCAACGACCCCCACCUGGCUCUCUCACAGACGCACAAGACCAAACUCAAAGAAUUCAGGAAACAGGAGCUUGAGCGCAGGAAGGAGUACCAGAAGGAGAUCAAGGAGAUGCAGCAGAGGGUGAAGGGGAGGCCACUGCUGCUGGAGCAGGUUGCACAGAGGAAUGCCAAGCACGCAGCAGAGAAGCGCUACACAAACGCCCUGCAUGGAUGUGAUCUGACCGAAGAGUUUAUCAGCAGCAAGGCGGCAAAAUCGGGAUCUGCACGCAAAGCCUCUCGGUCCAGUGACGGCAAACAGAGUGACGAAGAGGACCUAGACACGGGAUCCGAACCCGUCAGCUACAGAAAGGUCUUCCUGGACGACGAAGACUCUGAAGUAGAGCCAGACCGAAGGGAAGGAGGGAGCGACGAGGCUUCAUCGAACCACCGCGACGGAGACGACGCCAGCAGUCGCCACUCAGAUCGGGAUUAUCGCGGAGAGGAUCCCCACUGUUCAGAUGAAAGUUACCACUACUCAGACGACCAUGAGAACUACUCAGACGACAGCGAGCGCGAUGCCGACACUAAACAGCAGGAAGCAGGGGAGUGACGGCAUCGAUACGUUGGAAAAACUCUGAAAAAUUGAACAUGUCGAGUGAGGAGGAACCCUGAAGAGGGAGCUUCUUAUUCUGAGAAUGAUUAUUGUAAAUACUCUUCACAGGAGAAUGUUAAUCUUUAACAUAAGCUGAUGAGUUUGGAUGUGUCUGAAAUCACUUACUCGUUCACUCACACUAUUCCUACAUAAUGAAGUCCUUCCUUUACUCUACAUCAUUACUGACAGAUGUCAUUUUUUGUGUAAUUGGGAAUCUUUGAGGGUGACAGUAAUUGCAUGCCCCAAACUCAUACUCCAUACAGAUUUUAUACAGUAUUUACUCCUUACUAAUUGUAAUAAUAAUAUACUGUUUUAUCUUAGUUAGUCUAGAAUCACCCUCCCAGUGUGAACACACCACAUAGGCCUACUGUAAACCUGGUUGGAAGUACUGUGUAAUGUGGAUUUGCAGCACACUGACUGCAGGACUUUUAUUAUUUACAGCUGUGUAAUAAUUCUGUGACAAAAAAAAAAGUCUUCCAUUAAAAAGACCUAAUUUCAAUGAGCUAACAACGCUUUGUGGACAGUUUCAUCGAGACAUCGAUCUACAUACAGACACGUCUUCUAGGUUUUCAUUGUUUUGUUUUGUUUGUCCUGCAGGUGGCGCCAGAGGAUGGGUCAUGUUACUUAAAUCAGGUUAUCCUCUGUACAGUAGCCAUGUUAUGACGUGUCAGACUCAGUCCUUAUUAUACUUAUCGCAGAGGUUUUUAAAGGGAUUAAUAAAUGGUUGUUCUCAUCAUGGUGGUUAGAGUAUUUAUAAUCAUGGAGGUGAAAGCAGGAGUAGGAGUUGUUAGGAAGAAGAGGAGAUAAAGGUAGAUUUUAGUCUCCUGAGCUGAUCCACAUCCACAAAUGGAAGAUGUGGAUUCUUUGGCUUUGACUUGAACACAACUCCACCUGAAACAACAGGAAAAACAACACAGCACAGUUAGGAAACACAUUUUUCUACUGGGGUUUAACACAGUUUCUAUAGGGCAGAGUAUUGGUGCAGGGGCGGAGCGAACAUAUGUCCUAAAAUAUGUGUGUUUAUUAAGCAGAAUCCAAGUCCAACUGUUGUCCGGGCUGAAAAACUCAUCGUCCUGAGCCACAACCACUCUCAUGUAGGAGCAACAACAAUAAAGAUGAAAUACUCUUAGCUGUAGUGGACAGCUGUCAGUCAGUUUCUGAGUGACGAUAUGUUUGUCACAGCUUUCCUUUUUAAAAUUGGGGCCUCGUGGGGGCUCUAGUGCAGGGAUCUGGGCUGAGGCAG